AGGGCACCACCAGGAGUGGAGCCUGCGGCUUAAUUUGACUCAACACGGGAAAACUCACCCGGCCCGGACACCGUAAGGAUUGACAGACUGAGAGCUCUUUCUUAAUUCGGUGGGUGGUGGUGCAUGGCCGUUCUUAGUUGGUGGAGCGAUUUGUCUGGUUAAUUCCGAUAACGAACGAGACUCUGGCCUAUUAAAUAGACGAUAUAUCUAAAAGUAUAUCGCACCUCUUAGAGGGACAAGCGGCGUCUAGCCGCAUGAAAUAGAGCAAUAACAGGCCUGUGAUGCCCUUAGAUGUCCGGGGCUGCGCGCGCGCUACACUGAAAGAAUCAGUGGGCGUUCAACCUAGUUCGGAAGAACUGGGUAACCCAAGUAAAUUCUUUCGUGCUUGGGAUAGGGAAUUGCAAUUAUUUCCCUUAAACGAGGAAUUCCCAGUAAAUGCGGGUCAUAAGCUCGCGUUGAUUACGUCCCUGCCCUUUGUACACACCGCCCGUCGCUACUACCGAUUGGAUGACUUAGUGA
rnacentral:rRNA from 1 species